GAUGAAGAACGUAGCGAAAUGCGAUACGUAAUGUGAAUUGCAAAUUCAGUGAAUCAUCGAGUCUUUGAACGCACAUUGCGCCCCCUGGUAUUCCAGGGGGCAUGCCUGUCCGAGCGUCAUUGCUGCCCUCAAGCACGGCUUGUGUGUUGGGCCCCGUCCUCCGAUCCCGGGGGACGGGCCCGAAAGGCAGCGGCGGCACCGCGUCCGGUCCUCGAGCGUAUGGGGCUUUGUCACCCGCUCUGUAGGCCCGGCCGGCGCUUGCCGAUCAACCCAAAUUUUUAUCCAGGUUGACCUCGGAUCAGGUAGGGAUACCCGCUGAACUUAAGCAUAUCAAUAAGCGGAGGA
rnacentral:misc_RNA from 1 species